GUGAUGUUUAAGAAAGACCAAAGGGACCAGCUUGGCUGGGGGAGUGAAGGAGGAGAGAGGAAGCCAGAGAUGGGAUCAGACAGGUAACAGAACAAAGCAUCUGGCUGUGUAGGUCAAGCUAGGAGUGGACAAGUGGUCAAGUGAUGGUGCUGGCCAAUGAGAGGCUGUAUGGGAAGCAUGGCGGUAUCUGCUCGGCUUCUGGGGAGGCCUCAGGAAAACUACAAUCAUGGCGGAAGGUGAAGGGGGAGCCAGCACUUCACAUGGCCAGGAGCAGCAGGAAGUGGAAGAGGUGCUACACACUUUUAAACAGCCACAUCUCAUGAGAACUCACUAUCUCCACAACAGCACCAAGAGGGAUGGUGUUAAACCAUGAGAAACCAGCCCCAUGAUCCAAUCACCUCCUACCAAGCUCCAUCUUCAACAAUGGGAAUUACAGUUCAACGUGAAAUUUGAGCAAAGACACAGAUUGAAACCAUACCAGCCAUAGAUGGGUGCUGCACAGCCAGGGCUUUCCGUUUGGAGCUGCCCAUUAAAUACCCAGUUGCUGUGCCCAUUCACUGGCAGGCCAAUUAAUACUUUCUAAUAUAAUUUAAUAAACCCUUAACUUUGUGAGUGGCCAAAUGGCUACUACUACUCAGUUUUCAAGACUCAGUUCCAAUAUGCAGAUAAAGUUGUGAAAGAAUGGAGAAAACUGUUAAGAUUAGUUAUCUCUGGGAAAGGAGAGUAGGUAGGGGUGAUCAUGAGAGGGACUUUUCACUGUAUAACCUCCUAUGCUAUUUGAAUAUCUCACAAUAUUAGUGUAUUAUUUUUAUAAUUGGAUUUUCAAAAGUUAGAGAAAUGGGGGUGCCGUCUUUGUUUUUUUUGGUUUAAAAAUGACCUAAAAUGUCUUGUAAAGAAGGCGCAAAAGCCAUAUGGGAAACAAUAAGUAAAAAUACCUUAAGUAGUUUUUAAAAAUUAUUGUCUUAAACAUCAUUGAGAGCUGUUGUCUCAUUUAAAAUGUACUCAUUAACACGCCAAAGGAUAAAAUAAAUAAGUAAAUAAGGAGCAUGUCGUAUGUCCUUUGUAAAUGCAAAGCAAUUCUCUCAUCCACCAUUAGUGGGCCAUCAGCCUUCCUCUUCAAUUCCUACCUGACUGUGGGACAUGUCCAGCCUUCU
rnacentral:lncRNA from 1 species